AUUGAACGCUGGCGGCAUGCCUUACACAUGCAAGUCGAACGGCAGCACGGGUGCUUGCACCUGGUGGCGAGUGGCGAACGGGUGAGUAAUACAUCGGUACACGUCCCGUAGCGGUGGAUAGCCCGGCGAAAGCCGGAUUAAUACCGCAUACGAUCUACGGAUGUAAGCGGGGGACCUUCGGGCCUCGCGCUAUAGGGUUGGCCGAUGGCUGAUUAGCUAGUUGGUGGGGUAAAGGCCUACCAAGGCGACGAUCAGUAGCUGGUCUGAGAGGACGACCAGCCACACUGGGAGUGAGACACGGCCCAGACUCCUGCGGGAGGCAGCAGUGGGGAAUGUUGGACAAUAGGCGAGAACCUGAUCCAGCGAUGCCGCGUGUGUGGAAAAGACCUUCGGGUUGUGAAGCACUUUUGUCCGGAGAGAAAUCCUUGCCCCUAAUACGAACGGGGGGUGACGGUACCGGAAGAAUAAGCACCGGCUAACUACGUG
rnacentral:rRNA from 1 species